GGGAGUGCCCUUCGGGGAACCUGGAGACAGGUGCUGCAUGGGCUGUCGUCAGCUCGUGUCGUGAGGUGUCGGGUUAAGUCCCAUAACGAGCGCAACCCUUAUCGUUAGUUGCCAGCUGGUAAAGCAGGGGACUCUAGCGAAACUGCCACCGUAAGGUGAGAGGAAGGUGGGAUGACGUCAAAUCAGCACGGCCCUUAUGUCCAGGGCUACACACGUGUUACAAUGGCCGGCACAGAGGGCAGCUACCUGGUGACAGGAUGCUAAUCUCGAAAACCGGUCUCAGUUCGGAUCGAAGUCUGCAACUCGACUUCGUGAAGCUGGAUUCGCUAGUAAUCGCGCAUCAGCCAUGGCCGCGGUCCGAAUACGUUCCGGCCUU
rnacentral:rRNA from 1 species